rnacentral:rRNA from 1 species
GGGGGACCGCCUUUCCUCCCCUGUUUACCAGGAGGGUUGUGGGCGCCGGGGGCGAGAGAUCGCCCCUGGAGCGCGUCCGUCGACGGCCAUCAAACAAACUCUUUUUAGAAACCACCUUCUGAAAACCUUUUAGUUAUUGAAUUAACAAAAACAAAACUUUCAACAACGGAUCUCUUGGUUCUGGCAUCGAUGAAGAACGCAGCGAAAUGCGAUAAGUAAUGCGAAUUGCAGAAUUUCCGUGAGUCAUCGAAUCUUUGAACGCACAUUGCGCCCUUUGGUAUUCCGAAGGGCAUGCCUGUUCGAGCGUCAUUAUCACCUCUCAAACCCCGUGUUUGCUGUUGGACCCGAGUCCCGCGCGAGCGUGGACUGGUCCCAAAGAUAAUGACGGCGUCCGCGUGGACCCCCGGUGCAACGAGCUUUUCUUUUGAAGCGCGCGUCGAGAGGGAACCGCGGUACGGCCGGUCGACACCUUUUUCUUUUUACAAGGUUGACCUCGGAUCAGGU